rnacentral:sRNA from 1 species
AGGUACCUGCCUCUGCAGGAUAUCAUGUGUAUGGAAUGUCUUUCCCGGAAACUAAAGGAAGCAGUGACCCUAUAUCUGCGAGUUGUGAGAGUUGUAGAUCUCUGUGCAGGGCGGUGGUGGGAAUACAUGCCAAGUGGCUUUACAGAUUCCAGUUUUCUAACACUAUUAAAGAAGAUGCCAGAUGUUGAACAGCUAUAUGGCCUUCACCCUCGAUACCUUGAGAGGCGAAGAGUAAGGGGCCAUGAGGCUUUUAGCAUUCCAGGAGUCCUGGAAGCUUUGCAGGCAUGCCCAAACUUAGUGGGUGUGGAAACUUCUCAUUUGGAGUUGGUAGAAUCCAUUUGGACAUAUAUGCCCCAUGUUCAUAUUUUGGGGAAAUUUCGUAAUCG